rnacentral:rRNA from 1 species
AUGCAAGUAGAACGGUAACAGUCCUUCGGGAGCUGACGAGUUGCGAACGGGUGCGUAACGCGUAUGCAACCUACCUAUAACUGAGGGAUAGCCCAUAGAAAUGUGGAUUAAUACCUCAUAACAACUAAAGAUGGCAUCAUCUUAAGUUUAAAACUCCGGUGGUUAUAGAUGGGCAUGCGUGACAUUAGCUAGUUGGUGAGGUAACUGCUCACCAAGGCAACGAUGUCUAGGGGUUCUGAGAGGAUGAUCCCCCACACUGGUACUGAGACACGGACCAGACUCCUACGGGAGGCAGCAGUGAGGAAUAUUGCGCAAUGGAGGAAACUCUGACGCAGCCAUGCCGCGUGCAGGAUGACUGCCCUAUGGGUUGUAAACUGCUUUUAUAUAGGAAGAACUACAGAUACGUGUAUUUGUUUGACGGUACUAUACGAAUAAGGACCGGCUAACUCCGUGCCAGCAGCCGCGGUAAUACGGAGGGUCCAAGCGUUAUCCGGAUUUAUUGGGUUUAAAGGGUCCGUAGGCGGGUCAUUAAGUCAGUGGUGAAAUCCUACAGCUCAACUGUAGAACUGCCAUUGAAACUGGUACCUUGAAUAUAAUUGAAGUAGGCGGAAUGUGUCAUGUAGCGGUGAAAUGCUUAGAUAUGCCACAGAACACCGAUUGCGAAGGCAGCUUACUAAGUUAUUAUUGACGCUGAGGGACGAAAGCGUGGGUAGCGAACAGGAUUAGAUACCCUGGUAGUCCACGCCGUAAACGAUGUAUACUCGUUGCUAGCGAUACACAGUUAGUGACCAAGCGAAAGUAUUAA